rnacentral:lncRNA from 1 species
GGGGGGGAGGUUUUGAUGAUGGUUUUUGUUAGAUUUCAUGCUAUCUAGGUGUUUUUAGUUGUUUUGUGAUAUUCGGUAUGAAAAACAAGCAAGAAAACCACAUGUCCUUCACCAAACCCUCAUUGGCCGAAUUUAAUAGGGGAUAUAUUGAUGAUGAAUUGGAUGUUUUGGCUAAUUAAAUAGUGUAUAGUUGGAGUUAGGUCAAAUACCAUUUCAGUCCAAUAACAAUUGAACCUACAUAGAAUACCA